rnacentral:rRNA from 1 species
GAGUUUGAUCUUGGCUCAGAUUGAACGCUGGCGGCAUGCCUUACACAUGCAAGUCGAACGGCAGCAUGAUCUAGCUUGCUAGAUUGAUGGCGAGUGGCGAACGGGUGAGUAAUACAUCGGAACGUGCCCUGUAGUGGGGAUAACUAGUCGAAAGAUUAGCUAAUACCGCAUACGACCUGAGGGUGAAAGUGGGGGACCGCAAGGCCUCAUGCUAUAGGAGCGGCCGAUGUCUGAUUAGCUAGUUGGUGGGGUAAAGGCCCACCAAGGCGACGAUCAGUAGCUGGUCUGAGAGGACGAUCAGCCACACUGGGACUGAGACACGGCCCAGACUCCUACGGGAGGCAGCAGUGGGGAAUUUUGGACAAUGGGCGAAAGCCUGAUCCAGCAAUGUCGCGUGUGUGAAGAAGGCCUCGGUUGUAAGU